rnacentral:rRNA from 1 species
UACACUCCUACGGGAGGCAGCAGUGGGGAAUUUUCCGCAAUGGGCGAAAGCCUGACGGAGCAAUACCGCGUGAGGGAGGAAGGCUCUUGGGUUGUAAACCUCUUUUCUCAAGGAAGAAGUUCUGACGGUACUUGAGGAAUCAGCAUCGGCUAACUCCGUGCCAGCAGCCGCGGUAAUACGGAGGAUGCAAGCGUUAUCCGGAAUGAUUGGGCGUAAAGCGUCCGCAGGUGGUUGUGUGUGUCUAUUGUCAAAGCAUCAUGCUUAACAUGAUAAAGGCAGUAGAAACUACACGACUAGAGUGCGUUCGGGGCAGAGGGAAUUCCUGGUGUAGCGGUGAAAUGCGUAGAGAUCAGGAAGAACACCGGUGGCGAAAGCGCUCUGCUAGGCCGCAACUGACACUGAGGGACGAAAGCUAGGGGAGCGAAUGGGAUUAGAAACCCCAGUAGUCCCAU